GCUGAGAUCCUGAAAGCUGCACAAUCUAGCAAAUAUUUUGCACAUAACACUGGCUUACUUAAAAUUUAACUUUGUGACUUGAUAUAUUGUAAAUGCAUCUCUGAAAUGUCUUGCAGAGCUCUGUCUUUGUCCAGAACUUGCAGCACACAGCUUAGCUUCAGUGGCUUGCUGAAAGAGGAAGAAGAACCUACCUUAAUAAGAACCUACCGUAAAUAAGAUGCAUCUGCAAAACAGAGGUGAAAACUUGCCUAUCUCAGUCUGUUUGUGAGGAGAGUCCCUCUUGGAGAGAGUCUUCUGGAGCACUGCAGUAGAUUACAGGAGGCUCUUGCAGGCCCAAGCAGAAGCCAGGACAUCUGCAGGGAGGCGUGACAGAGGCAGGCUGACGCUGCACUGUGGGCAGAGGAGAGCACCGGUGCAGUCCUGUCCUUCCUGCGACCUGCGGUGAGUUAGGCACCACUUUGCCAGGUGUGUUUGUCUGCACCUUGUUUUCAUCAACCAAAGUGACACUCAGCAAAAAUGCUAUAGAUGGGAGAGGGAAUACUUCUGCACAGGUCAGAUACUAAAGAUUCUUCUCAAGGCUUCAUGUUAUAGACAGCUUUCUGCAGGGGUGGACUCUGUUUUCUUCUAGAUCUAAAAUGUAGAUUGUGGCUAAUAGUAAAUACACUCGCACACACUUUGUUUAACUGUAAUUGUUAUGUUACUGAUCAGAUCACUGAUAAAGGUAUUAAAGGUCAGAGCCAAUGGUGAGGGGAGAAAGUCCCACAGAAUCACACCCACUCAGCAGUGACAUCCCUGCACUGGUGUGUUGUGAGACUUCACCCAGACAGUUUUCAUGCUAUUCUGCAUAUGUCAGUUCUGAAUUAGCCUUAGAUUCAUUGUUUUGGAAAGUUAAAGGCUUUAGGAGGAACCUUUUACAACUAAGUUUAUAAUAUUUCUCUAAAAAAUGUUUGAUGAGAGGUCAUUUUCAUAAAACCAUAUUAAUCAACAUCUAUUAUAUUGUCUCUUUUUUAUUAUUUGAAUUCUGUGUCGGUCAUUGUGACAGUUUGACUUAGAGUGCUGUGUUCAUCUGAGAAGUUUGUAAAAGCUACUCUUUCCAGUUACAGCUUGAAAUUUUUGAUGAACUGUAUUUCUUCCUGUUUACUGAAAUCCCCUUAAGCACUUUUAAGGGCUAAUGAGAAUGACUGUUAAUUGCUCUGGACACAAUUCAGCCAGUUCUCUAGGAAUGUAAUGAUGGAUAUGGGCUAUCCAAACCCUCUGCACUUCAUGUGCCUAACUUUCCUGCUUGCUCUUUUACCAUCCUCCUGCAAUGGAGUUGAAAUAGAAAGUCCCAGACUGCAUUGCAAUCCUUUGGACUCACAUGGCCCUUUUCUGGUGCAGAAAAUGCACAUGUAUUAAAUAUGUUUGCAUUUGCUGCAUUAUUUUUUACAAUUCUGUAUAACAGCAUAUAUUUCUCUGUAAUUCCAGAAGUACAGUUCUUUUUUCAUCUAGGAUAUUUUAAAAAGUAUGUGUUUACUUUAGUCCUGCAGGUCAUAGAUUUCCCCUUGUAGUUUUUGUAUGUUCUUUUUUUUUUUUAAUUUUUAUUUUUUGCCAUUUAAUGCUCAUUCCUUCAUUGUAUUACAGUGUUUCUCAUUUAAGUUUAAAAAAAAAAAAAAGAGUACAGCUGUGCUCUCAGGAGUUGUUUGUUUUUCAGUUGUGCUGAGUGGCUGAUAGAGAAGACAAAUUACAGCAGGGAUGUCUGCUUGUCCUGUCCAGCAGUGCCACCUAACUGUGCUGAGUGCGCCCAACCCAGGAGCCAGGAGGAAGGGGCUGGAAGCUGUGGCUGGCCCAUCUGGAGAGCGUAACACCCUAGAGACAAGCUGCCUGCUGAGCACUGACUCGCGAUUGUGUGCUGAAGGCAUGGUUGUGCAGCAUCUUUAGAGCUUUGCUGUGCUGUUCCUGUGUACCCACCACUACUGCUGCCUCUUCCGAGAGAACCUGUGUCUGCUGUGUCCUUCACAAACACCCUGAAAGCUGGGAUUCCCCAAACUUUGAUGCCUGUGACAUGCAAGCUGUCCAGACUUGUGGCCAUCACUGGAGUAACACCAGGAUGAAGCUGGCCCACGGUUCCUAGGACUUUGAAGAUAAGCUGACAGAGAAAGAAAAUUGAUUCUCAACCAUCACAAGCCAAUCAUAGUCUUUCAACAGAACAUUUACACAACCUUCAAAGACUGCUGUGAACCCUACACAACAGCAGGUACUUGUUUUCAGUACCUCUAAGUGUAUGGGCAACAUUUAGCAUGCAGGCAAAAUGCUAACCUUUUAAGGAGAAUUUGUAGCAAAAUUCAGCAGCUUGCUGGAAAUAUUCUCAUUGG